rnacentral:lncRNA from 1 species
CCCCUUUGUGUCUCUCAAGCCGGGACUGAUGAGUUCCAAGGCCAGUGAGGCUGAGUCUUCUGCUGGUGCCCCAGAGGCUGUAUCCAGGCCCCGAGAACACCGAGGCCCCGAGGGACUGUGCUGUCUGGCUGCUCAUGGAACCUCCGGCCGGUGGCCCUUGCGGUGGAUGACCAGCUGCGACUUCCAGUCGAAGGCGCGGCCACAGUCACUGCAGAAGUGACGCCGCUGGCCUGUGUGGCUCUUGCGGUGGAUGACCAGCUGCGACUUCCAGCUGAAGCUGCACCCGCACUCCUCACACGGGUAACUCCGGGGGCCUGUGAGUGAGCGUCGGGGGUGGUGCGGAAAGGCCACCUCCCCUUGUGGUGGCUUCUCUGUGCUUUCCCCGGUGGCUAGCCCCGGGGACUGCACACCUGGCCCACUCGUGUGUGUCCGGUGGUGGAUGACGAACACUGACUUCCAGUCGAAGCCGCGGCCACACUGCUCGCACGUGUAGGGCUUCCUGGGGGUGGCAGCCGGCUCCAGUCUCGUCUCUGCAGGUGUGGGCUGAGUGGGCACUGGCGGUGUCCCUGGGCGCACAGUGGGGGCAGGAGUGGCAGCCCCAGACAAGCCCUCCCAGGCUGCCGGCCCUGGGCCCUGGGGCGGCUGGGCCUCUGGGCAGCCAGGUGGACCCUCACUCUCAUUUCCUGGGGGCAGGGGCAAACCAGGUGAGUCCCGGCACUCAGCAACCCCUCCCUCAGGCUUGUGGCCGUGGCACAAGCUCCCGUCCCCCCAUGAGUGGGUGGCUCAGGUCCCACCGAUACAGGAGGGGUGAUUCAGGCUGGAUGGUGUGGGGCACUCACCCGAGCGCAGGCUUCUGCAGACGCCUGUCCCCGUGAGCAGCAUCCCCAGCUCUGACUGGGCCUGUGCCUCUGGCUGGUGGGGCGGUAACCCUGCCCGGGUGGGGGGCACAGUUAGGCAUGGGGUUUGCAUGAAGGAGGGGUGGGGUCGGUUCUGGUAGGUGACAGGGUGUUCCUCUGGAAGGUGGGAGAGCUGGGUAGGGCUGGUAGCACAGAGGCCCUGCCCAGCUAGGCCUGCUGCAGGGUGGGUGCAGGCCCCAGGGAGAGGGGCGGGGUGGGGCUGGCUGGUCCUCACCCAGGGAGACCACUGUGCCGUACUUCUCCAGCAUCGCAUCCCAGUACAGUUCCUUCUGUGACCGGUCCAGCAGCCCCCACUCCUCCUGCGGAUGUGGCCCAUCACUGUAGGCGUCUUUCCACCCCUUCCCUGCCCUGUCUGGUUCACAUUCUUACCUAUUACCCGGAAGAGUCAGCAGGUUACCUACGCCUCAUCUGCCCCUCCUGCUGAGAAUGAUCUCAAGGUGUGUGUUUGUUAAGUGCAGAGGUUCUCCUUCAGAUCACCUGACCAGUGCUGCUGCCAGCACUCAUCCCCCUCUACUACACCAUCCUGCUCAGAGGGCAGGUU